UUGCGUGUUUAAGGGGCUGCGUUUAAGUACUCCUCGUAAAUUUCACCUACCAUAAAAAGACAAGCAAAAAAGGUUUGAAAAUCAAAGCUUUAAAAGUAAUGUAGCUGGAUAAGCUGUUCAACCUUUAUGAAGAGGGCUCGGUGUUUUGUAGUCCUUUUAGGAUGUACGGUGUUGGUUUGUAGUCCUUGGCUACCUUCUGAAAUGUCUCCAACUCAUGGAGCAGUGUGCUUUUUUAGUGUCGACUAAUAACCUUUUUUGCAGGGUGUUUGUAUAACUUUGUCCUUCCAGUCUUCUCUGUCGAGAGGCGCCCAAUGACGGAAUUUAGUGCCAGCUGACUGAUCGGAUGAUGCGCAAUAGCUCCCAACAACUUAGCCAGCUGACGAGACUGCAACAGAAGAGAGACUGGAGGGAAUAAACAGCGAUAAGUGGAGUUUUCUUGGAUUUAAAAAGUCAGUGAGGGGCUGAACGCACACACAAACAAACCAAUAAGCAAACAAACACAUUUCAAACAAACAACACAAACACACGUGACAGCUGUGUCCUGUUAGCUUACAGCUAUGCUAACGCCGGUAUGUAGGUGGUACAGUCCGGGCUGACACGAGUCAAAUCACCUCAGUCAUUUUGAAAUAAUAAAUGACUGAGAAGUACCGUGACUGGUACUCAACAACACCUGAUGAGCACUUCGGAGGUACAGGCUGUCAUAAGGAUUGAAAGGACAUCUGGCAUCAAUGAAGACGGUGGCGUCUUGAGUUUCUGAAAAACGUAAGGAGUGCAGAGAGCCCCACCCACCAGUGUGAGGACUGCAGCUGCUGGAGAGCAAUGAUGCGCUCCUCUUCACCUAUGUCAAAGACUCUGCUGCCUGAACAGUGUCUCUGAGAAUAGCAUCGGCAUCCUUUAAGGAAGAACAGAGCCUUCAAACAACAGCCCAUGUUACUGUAGCUACUCAAUGAGUCAGCACUGCAUUAUGUCUUGCUUUGCAUCAAGCCUUCUGUAGAACACAUGUUACACUGCCCGGCCAAAAAAAAGGUCACCACCUCGAUUGAACUAAGCAAAUAGGUAUGAGCCUCACAUUGGAUAAUUACUGCAUGGGUGAUUAUGUUUCAGCUGGCAACAAGUUAUUUUACCCUUACUGAUGCAGUGAGUAGCUUCUCAUUUGUUAAACAGUCAUGUCGAAAGACAUAUCCUGUGCUCGCGGGAAAGAUGUUAAUCUGUUUCAGAAGGGUGAAAUUAUUGGUAUGCAUCAAGCAGAGAAAACAUCUAAGGAGAUUGCUGAAACUACUAAAAUGGGGUUAAGAACUGUCCAACGCAUUAUUAAAAACUGGAAGGACAGUGGGGAAACAUCCUCUUCCAGGAAGGAAUGUGGUCGGAAAAAAAUCUUGAAUGAUCGUGCUCGGCGAUCACUUAAACGUUUGGUGAAAUCAAAUGGUAGAAAAACAACAGUAGAACUCACGGCUAUGUUUAACAGUGACAGUAAGAGCAUUUCCUCACGCACAAUGCGGAGGGAACUCAAGGGAUUGGGACUAAACAGCUGUGUAGCUGUAAGAAAACCACUUGUCAGUGAGGCUAAUCGGAAAAAACGGCUUCAGUUUGCUAUGAAGCAUAAAGACUGGACUCUGGAGCAAUGGAAGAAGGUCAUGUGGUCUGAUGAGUCCAGAUUUACCCUGUUCCAGAGUGAUGGGAGCGUCAGGGUAAGACGAGAGGCGGCUGAAGUGAUGCACCCAUCAUGCUUGGUGCCUACUGCAGAAGCCUGUGGGGGCAGUGCUCUGAUCUGGGGUUGCUGCAGUUGGUCUGGUUUAGGUUCAGCAACAUUAUGUGCCCAAACAAUGAGGUCAGCUGACUACCUGAAUAUACUGAAUGACCAGGUUAUUCCAUCAAUGGAUUUCUUCUUCCCUGAUGGCACGGGCAUGUUCCAAGAGGACAAUGCCAGGAUCCAUCGGGCUCAGAUUGUGAAAGAGUGGUUCAGGGAGCAUGAGACAUCAUUUUCACACAUGGAUUGGCCCCCACAGAGUCCAGACCUGAACCCGACUGUGAAUCUUUGGGAUGUGCUGGAGAAGACUUUGCGCAGUGGUCCAAAUCUCCCGCCAACAAAACAGGAUCUUGGCGAAAAAUUAAUGCAACUCUGGACAGAAAUAAAUGUUGUGACGUUGCAGAAGCUUGUGGAAACGAUGCCACAGCGAAUGUGUGCCGUAAUCAAAGCUCAAGGCGGUCCAACGAAAUAUUAGUGACCUUUUUUUGGCCAGGCAGUGCAUAACAUACCAAGCUGCCAGUGCCCUUGUUCUUUUGUUGUUUUUCUGCAUUAUUCAACCAAUAAAAUGGACUUUGGCCAAUAA